GAUGAACGCUGGCGGCGUGCCUAAUACAUGCAAGUCGAGCGGACCAAAGGGAGCUUGCUCUCUGAGGUUAGCGGCGGACGGGUGAGUAACACGUGGGUAACCUGCCUGUAAGACGGGGAUAACUUCGGGAAACCGAAGCUAAUACCGGAUGAUAAAGAGAAACGCCUGUUUCUUUUUUGAAAGUCGGCCUUGUGCUGACGCUUACAGAUGGGCCCGCGGUGCAUUAGCUAGUUGGUGAGGUAACGGCCUACCAAGGCGACGAUGCGUAGCUGGUCUGAGAGGACGAUCAGCCACACUGGGACUGAGACACGGCCCAGACUCCUACGGGAGGCAGCAGUGGGGAAUCUUGCGCAAUGCGCGAAAGCGUGACGCAGCAACGCCGCGUGGGGGAAGAAGGCCUUCGGGUUGUAAACCUCUUUCAGUUGGGACGAAGGUUCGGCGGUGAAUAGCCGUCCGGACUGACGGUACCUUCACAAGAAGCCCCGGCUAACUACGUGCCAGCCGCCGCAGUAAUAC
rnacentral:rRNA from 1 species